rnacentral:rRNA from 1 species
ACACGCAUGACACACUGCAUAUCAAUAAGCGGAGGAAAAGAAACUAACAAGGAUUCCCCUAGUAACGGCGAGUGAAGCGGGAAGAGCUCAAAUUUGAAAUCUUCAAGGUUUGACCUUGACGAAUUGUAGUUUAAAGAAGUGUUUUCGGUUAGAGGAGUAGUAAAAGUUCUUUGGAAUAGGACAUCAUAGAGGGUGAGAAUCCCGUAUUUGACUAUUCUUUCUAGCUUUGUGAUACACUUUCAAAGAGUCGGAUUGUUUGGGAAUGCAGUCCAAAAUGGGUGGUAAAUUUCAUCUAAAGCUAAAUAUUGGCGAGAGACCGAUAGCGAACAAGUACCGUGAGGGAAAGAUGAAAAGAACUUUGAAAAGAGAGUUAAACAGUACGUGAAAUUGUCAAAAGGGAAGCGUUUGACACCAGUGUUGUUUUUCCGAAAAUCAAUUAAAAAUUGAUUCAUGCUAGGUUGUAUUGACCUUAUCAGCUUGCAAUUUAGUUUUGGGUCUCUUUUUGAUGCACUUUUCGGUUAACAAGUCAACAUCAAUUUCCUUUGCUGUAAAAAGGUAAGAGGAAGGUGGCUUCAAUUUCGGUUGAAGUGUUUAUAGCCUUUUAUCUCUGCAGUCGGGGAGAUUGAGGUCUGCAGCGUAGAUCCUUCGGGGCUAGAUACAUUUAUGCUAAGUUAUAGCUUUUCAUAGACAACUUGUUGACUAUGUUUAGUCAUGUAGCUUACUCGUAAGUGCUAUUUUACCUACGCUUAGGAUGUUGAGCGCAUGUCUCUCUCU